UACGUAGGGGGCAAGCGUUGUCCGGAAUCAUUGGGCGUAAAGCGCGUGUAGGCGGUCCGGUAAGUCCGCUGUGAAAGUCGGGGGCUCAACCCUCGGAUGCCGGUGGAUACUGUCGGGCUUGAGUACGGAAGAGGCGAGUGGAAUUCCUGGUGUAGCGGUGAAAUGCGCAGAUAUCAGGAGGAACACCAAUUGCGAAGGCAGCUCGCUGGGACGUUACUGACGCUGAGAAGCGAAAGCGUGGGUAGCAAACAGG
rnacentral:rRNA from 1 species